rnacentral:rRNA from 1 species
UACGUAGGGUGCAAGCGUUAAUCGGAAUUACUGGGCGUAAAGCGUGCGCAGGCGGUUUUGUAAGUCUGUCGUGAAAGCCCCGGGCUUAACCUGGGAAUUGCGAUGGAGACUGCAAGGCUUGAAUCUGGCAGAGGGGGGUAGAAUUCCACGUGUAGCAGUGAAAUGCGUAGAGAUGUGGAGGAACACCGAUGGCGAAGGCAGCCCCCUGGGUCAAGAUUGACGCUCAUGCACGAAAGCGUGGGGAGCAAACAGGG